GACGAACGCUGGCGGCGUGCCUAAUGCAUGCAAGUUGAGCGAUGAAGAUUGGUGCUUGCACCAAUUUGAAGAGCAGCGAACGGGUGAGUAACGCGUGGGGAAUCUGCCUUUGAGCGGGGGACAACAUUUGGAAACGAAUGCUAAUACCGCAUAACAACUUUAAACAUAAGUUUUAAGUUUGAAAGAUGCAAUUGCAUCACUCAAAGAUGAUUCCGCGUUGUAUUAGCUAGUUGGUGAGGUAAAGGCUCACCAAGGCGAUGAUACAUAGCCGACCUGAGAGGGUGAUCGGCCACAUUGGGACUGAGACACGGCCCAAACUCCUACGGGAGGCAGCAGUAGGGAAUCUUCGGCAAUGGACGAAAGUCUGACCGAGCAACGCCGCGUGAGUGAAGAAGGGUUUCGGAUCGUAAAACUCUGUUGGUAGAGAAGAACGUUGGUGAGAGUGGAAAGCUCAUCAAGUGACGGUAACUACCCAGAAAGGGACGGCUAACUACGUG
rnacentral:rRNA from 1 species